rnacentral:rRNA from 1 species
AUUGAACGCUGGCGGCAGGCCUAACACAUGCAAGUCGAACGGUAACAGGAAGAAGCUUGCUUCUUUGCUGACGAGUGGCGGACGGGUGAGUAAUGUCUGGGAAACUGCCUGAUGGAGGGGGAUAACUACUGGAAACGGUAGCUAAUACCGCAUAACGUCGCAAGACCAAAGAGGGGGACCUUCGGGCCUCUUGCCAUCGGAUGUGCCCAGAUGGGAUUAGCUAGUAGGUGGGGUAACGGCUCACCUUGGCGAGGAUCCCUAGCUGGUCUGAGAGGAUGACCAGCCACACUGGAACUGAGACACGGUCCAGACUCCGACGGGCGGCAGCAGUGGGGAAUAUUGGACAAUGGGCGCAAGCCUGAUGCAGCGAUGCCGCGUGUAUGCAGAAGGCCUUCGGGUUGUAAAGUACUUUCAGCGGGGAGGAAGGGAGUAAAGAUAAUACCUUUGCUCAUUGACGUUACCCGCAGAAGAAGCACCGGCUAACUCCGUG